GACAGCGUGUCCGAGUGGUUAAGGAGGUGGACUUGAAAUCCACUAGGCUCUGCCUGCGCAGGUUCGAAUCCUGCCGCUGUCG
rfam:Perkinsus marinus ATCC 50983 gcontig_1104296545660, whole genome shotgun sequence.